rnacentral:rRNA from 1 species
UACGUAGGGUGCGAGCGUUAAUCGGAAUUACUGGGCGUAAAGCGUGCGCAGGCGGUUCGUCGUGUCCGAUGUGAAAGCCCCGGGCUCAACCUGGGAAUGGCAUUGGAAACUGGCGGGCUUGAGUGUGGCAGAGGGGGGUGGAAUUCCGCGUGUAGCAGUGAAAUGCGUAGAGAUGCGGAGGAACACCGAUGGCGAAGGCAGCCCCCUGGGCUAACACUGACGCUGAGGUGCGAAAGCGUGGGGAGCAAACAGG